AAACAACUUAUAAACAUUCUGGAACAAAACCGGAAGAAAGAUCAAAUGGUGGCUGUGAGAAAGAAGAGGGAAUGGAAGAACUAUACGAGAAAGGAUGUUAUUUUGGUUUUGUAGUUGUUGUUUUUUGUGUUUUCGGUUUUUUCCA
rnacentral:ribozyme from 1 species